CGGUACUCAGAGAGUUUCGAUCCUGGCUCAGGAUGAACGCUGCGGCGUGCCUAACACAUGCAAGUCGAACGGAGCUAUUUAGGAACUUCCUUCGGGGAGCGGAAUCUUUAGCUUAGUGGCGGACGGGUGAGUAACGCGUGAGCAAUCUGCCUUUGGGAUGGGGGAUAACAGCCGGAAACGGCUGCUAAUACCGCAUAAUGCAACGGGAUCGCAUGGUCCUGCUGCCAAAGAUUUAUUGUCCAAAGAUGAGCUCGCGUCUGAUUAGCCAGUUGGCGGGUAACGGCCCACCAAAGCGACGAUCAGUAGCCGGACUGAGAGGUUGAACGGCCACAUUGGGACUGAGACACGGCCCAGACUCCUACGGGAGGCAGCAGUGGGGAAUAUUGCGCAAUGGGGGAACCCUGACGCAGCAACGCCGCGUGAUUGAAGAAGGCCUUCGGGUUGUAAAGAUCUUUAAUCGGGGACGAAACAUGACGGUACCCGAGGAAUAAGCUCCGGCUAACUACGUG
rnacentral:rRNA from 1 species